UUAAGUUAUUAAGGGCGCACGGUGGAUGCCUUGGCACUAGAAGCCGAUGAAGGACGUUACUAACGACGAUAUGCUUUGGGGAGCUGUAAGUAAGCUUUGAUCCAGAGAUUUCCGAAUGGGGAAACCCAGCAUGAGUUAUGUCAUGUUAUCGAUAUGUGAAUACAUAGCAUAUCAGAAGGCACACCCGGAGAACUGAAACAUCUUAGUACCCGGAGGAAGAGAAAGAAAAUUCGAUUCCCUUAGUAGCGGCGAGCGAAACGGGAAGAGCCCAAACCAACAAGCUUGCUUGUUGGGGUUGUAGGACACUCUAUACGGAGUUACAAAGGACGACAUUAGACGAAUCAUCUGGAAAGAUGAAUCAAAGAAGGUGAUAAUCCUGUAGUCGAAAAUGUUGUCUCUCUUGAGUGGAUCCUGAGUACGACGGAGCACGUGAAAUUCCGUCGGAAUCUGGGAGGACCAUCUCCUAAGGCUAAAUACUCUCUAGUGACCGAUAGUGAACCAGUACCGUGAGGGAAAGGUGAAAAGCACCCCGGAAGGGGAGUGAAAUAGAACCUGAAACCGUGUGCUUACAAGUAGUCAGAGCCCGUUAAUGGGUGAUGGCGUGCCUUUUGUAGAAUGAACCGGCGAGUUACGAUUUGAUGCAAGGUUAAGCAGUAAAUGUGGAGCCGUAGCGAAAGCGAGUCUGAAUAGGGCGUUUAGUAUUUGGUCGUAGACCCGAAACCAGGUGAUCUACCCUUGGUCAGGUUGAAGUUCAGGUAACACUGAAUGGAGGACCGAACCGACUUACGUUGAAAAGUGAGCGGAUGAACUGAGGGUAGCGGAGAAAUUCCAAUCGAACCUGGAGAUAGCUGGUUCUCUCCGAAAUAGCUUUAGGGCUAGCCUCAAGUGAUGAUUAUUGGAGGUAGAGCACUGUUUGGACGAGGGGCCCCUCUCGGGUUACCGAAUUCAGACAAACUCCGAAUGCCAAUUAAUUUAACUUGGGAGUCAGAACAUGGGUGAUAAGGUCCGUGUUCGAAAGGGAAACAGCCCAGACCACCAGCUAAGGUCCCAAAAUAUAUGUUAAGUGGAAAAGGAUGUGGCGUUGCCCAGACAACUAGGAUGUUGGCUUAGAAGCAGCCAUCAUUUAAAGAGUGCGUAAUAGCUCACUAGUCGAGUGACACUGCGCCGAAAAUGUACCGGGGCUAAACAUAUUACCGAAGCUGUGGAUUGUCCUUUGGACAAUGGUAGGAGAGCGUUCUAAGGGCGUUGAAGCAUGAUCGUAAGGACAUGUGGAGCGCUUAGAAGUGAGAAUGCCGGUGUGAGUAGCGAAAGACGGGUGAGAAUCCCGUCCACCGAUUGACUAAGGUUUCCAGAGGAAGGCUCGUCCGCUCUGGGUUAGUCGGGUCCUAAGCUGAGGCCGACAGGCGUAGGCGAUGGAUAACAGGUUGAUAUUCCUGUACCACCUAUAAUCGUUUUAAUCGAUGGGGGGACGCAGUAGGAUAGGCGAAGCGUGCGAUUGGAUUGCACGUCUAAGCAGUAAGGCUGAGUAUUAGGCAAAUCCGGUACUCGUUAAGGCUGAGCUGUGAUGGGGAGAAGACAUUGUGUCUUCGAGUCGUUGAUUUCACACUGCCGAGAAAAGCCUCUAGAUAGAAAAUAGGUGCCCGUACCGCAAACCGACACAGGUAGUCAAGAUGAGAAUUCUAAGGUGAGCGAGCGAACUCUCGUUAAGGAACUCGGCAAAAUGACCCCGUAACUUCGGGAGAAGGGGUGCUCUUUAGGGUUAACGCCCAGAAGAGCCGCAGUGAAUAGGCCCAAGCGACUGUUUAUCAAAAACACAGGUCUCUGCUAAACCGUAAGGUGAUGUAUAGGGGCUGACGCCUGCCCGGUGCUGGAAGGUUAAGAGGAGUGGUUAGCUUCUGCGAAGCUACGAAUCGAAGCCCCAGUAAACGGCGGCCGUAACUAUAACGGUCCUAAGGUAGCGAAAUUCCUUGUCGGGUAAGUUCCGACCCGCACGAAAGGCGUAACGAUUUGGGCACUGUCUCAACGAGAGACUCGGUGAAAUCAUAGUACCUGUGAAGAUGCAGGUUACCCGCGACAGGACGGAAAGACCCCGUGGAGCUUUACUGUAGCCUGAUAUUGAAAUUCGGCACAGCUUGUACAGGAUAGGUAGGAGCCUUUGAAACGUGAGCGCUAGCUUACGUGGAGGCGCUGGUGGGAUACUACCCUAGCUGUGUUGGCUUUCUAACCCGCACCACUUAUCGUGGUGGGAGACAGUGUCAGGCGGGCAGUUUGACUGGGGCGGUCGCCUCCUAAAAGGUAACGGAGGCGCUCAAAGGUUCCCUCAGAAUGGUUGGAAAUCAUUCAUAGAGUGUAAAGGCAUAAGGGAGCUUGACUGCGAGACCUACAAGUCGAGCAGGGUCGAAAGACGGACUUAGUGAUCCGGUGGUUCCGCAUGGAAGGGCCAUCGCUCAACGGAUAAAAGCUACCCCGGGGAUAACAGGCUUAUCUCCCCCAAGAGUUCACAUCGACGGGGAGGUUUGGCACCUCGAUGUCGGCUCAUCGCAUCCUGGGGCUGUAGUCGGUCCCAAGGGUUGGGCUGUUCGCCCAUUAAAGCGGUACGCGAGCUGGGUUCAGAACGUCGUGAGACAGUUCGGUCCCUAUCCGUCGUGGGCGUAGGAAAUUUGAGAGGAGCUGUCCUUAGUACGAGAGGACCGGGAUGGACAUACCUCUGGUGUACCAGUUGUCGUGCCAACGGCAUAGCUGGGUAGCUAUGUGUGGACGGGAUAAGUGCUGAAAGCAUCUAAGCAUGAAGCCCCCCUCAAGAUGAGAUUUCCCAACUUCGGUUAUAAGAUCCCUCAAAGAUGAUGAGGUUAAUAGGUUCGAGGUGGAAGCAUGGUGACAUGUGGAGCUGACGAAUACUAAUCGAUCGAAGACUUAAUC
rnacentral:rRNA from 1 species